rnacentral:ribozyme from 1 species
UGCCCAGCAACUCCUAUCCCUACCUCCUCGUGGUGCCGGCCGGAAACUAUGAGCAACCUUAGGGAACCCGAGCAGAAGAGA